GAUGAACGCUAGCGGCAGGCUUAACACAUGCAAGUCGAGGGGCAUCACGGGUAGCAAUACCUGGUGGCGACCGGCGCAAGGGUGCGUAACGCGUGAGCAACAUGCCCUAUACAGGGGGAUAAUCCAGGGAAACUUGGUCUAAUAUCCCAUAGCAUUUAGAGGUGGCAUCACCAUUAAAUUAAAGCUUCGGUGGUAUAGGAUUGGCUCGCGUGACAUUAGCUAGAUGGUGGGGUAACGGCUCACCAUGGCUAUGAUGUCUAGGGGUUCUGAGAGGAAGACCCCCCACACUGGGACUGAGACACGGCCCAGACUCCUACGGGAGGCAGCAGUGAGGAAUAUUGGACAAUGGAUGGAAAUCUGAUCCAGCCAUGCCGCGUGCAGGAAGACGGCCCUAUGGGUUGUAAACUGCUUUUAACAGGGAAGAAAAUGCUAUACGCGAUAUAGUACUGACGGUACCUGAGGAAUAAGCACCGGCUAACU
rnacentral:rRNA from 1 species